UUUCCUUCCUGGAUUCCAGAAUCUUUGUAACAAGUGUAAGUUUGGAACCAACUGACUGAGCUUGCUCUGUCUCUCUCUCUCUCUCUUCCUCCCUUCCUCCCUUCCUUUCUUCCUUUCUUCUUUCCAUGUAGUCUUCCUCUGUCACCCAGGCUGGAGUGCAGUGGGCAAUCUCAGUUCACUGCAACCUCUGCAAGCAAUUCUCCUUACUCUGCCUUUGGAGUAGCUGGGAUUAUGGGUGUGCACCACCAUGCCCAGCUAAUUUUUGUAGUUUUAGUAGAGAUGGGGUUUCACCAUGUUUGCCAGGCUGGUCUCAAACCCCUGGCCUCAAGUGAUCUGCCUGUCUCUGCAUCCCAAAAUGUUGGGAUUACAGGCAUGAGCCACCGCACCCCGCCAGAGUGAUUCAAGUUGACAGAUUCAGAGUAAGAAAAGAACUUCCAGGUUAAACAAUCUUUGCGUUGUUUUCGGCAUAUCCAUCAGAAAAUCCAGCUAAGAAGUUUAAUUGGCCAGCAAAAAAAUUGGUGAUAUCAUCAAAUAUGUGGAAGUUGAAGCCUUAGGAUUAAAUGAGUUUCCUAAAGAAAAUGCUGAGAAUGAAGAAAAGAAUCAAACACUGGGGAUAUUCACAAUUCAAAGCGAUUCUGAGACAAACUUUACUGAAGAUAUAUCUGAGGGGGAAAAAAAGCAUAACCAGAAAAGAACGAAGAGAAAAUGCAAUCCAAGAGAGAUCUUUCAAGGUAAACAAACAAAAGCUUUGAUGAUGUCUAUUUUUAUCAGAAAAAUGAAAUAGAAGAAUCUAUUUACAGUAUUUAGCAGCACAGAUGACAAUGGUAAUAUUUGUUAAGGCAAAUUCAACAAUGGGAGCAGUUGCCACAGUUUACCACGUGGAAGUUGAAGGAAAGAAGGAAAUAGAGUGAAUAGCUUAUGAAGAAUAUUCUUUGAAGGAUAUUGGCUUUGAAGAGUAGUGAUACUAUUGUCACUAGAAGGACAAAAUAGUUAAUGGUGACUUUUUUCCCUCUAAAUAUGGAGAUUUAUUAUAAGCUAUUUGCUGUAAAAAAAAAAAAAAAAUAAUAGAGUGUGACAGACUUGGCAUCCAGGAAAGGAUGUACUAAACCAGUAGAUCAAAUCCCUUAAGGAAGAAAAGAUGGCAUGCUCAAGAGCACAGAGGAGAGAUGAGUCUUGAAUAGAAACAGACACCUCUUCCCUAGAUACUGGGAAAAAGAGUUGACAUGUGAUUGCAGUGUUAGCGUGUGAUACUGGACUUCACAGAAGUCUAUGCUGUAGAGUUUACAUUAAGGAACUUAAAUAGGGAACAUCCUGUUUUAUAAGAUUAUUUUGAGGAUGGAGCACAACACACUGACAUUCAAAAGGUUAAAGGUAAAACUGUUUGCCACAAACAGCUCUGAACAAGAAGGCUGCCCAGCAGGGUCACAAAAGGAUUGCAUCUGAGGACAGUGUAACAGCAAGCUGGAGCUAUAGGAGGUAGCUAAUGUAUGUCAAGUGGGGUGUGAUUAGCUAGACUUUGUAGACUCCUUACAAAUUGGCUAAUUUAAAUAAUUUCUUAGGCUCUGGGAUAUAGGGGAUAUAGUCCCUACUUGUCUGUUCUAUAGCCCUGGGGCAAUUAGAGAUAGUCCAGUAGUCAGGAGUAUAAAAGCCUGAGAAGGAAAGUGUUUGAGAUGUGGACUUAAUCAAUCAGCUGCUGAAGGAGGACUGACCUACCUCUAGCCAAGGGUUCACAACUGGAUCAAGACAGUAUUAAUAAAAAUAUACCAUAUUUCACUUAUGAAGAAAGAUAAGAUUUCAGAAGGUAUCUCACAUGUAUCCUGGAUGAUUGAGUAAGAAAUAUGACAAAAAAUACAGCUGACAUUUUCAGGAAGGAUUUUGAACAUUGUGCAUAUGUUAUUUCAAUCUUUGCUGCCAUACAAGGUAAAUAAUAUUAUCUGUUUCAAAGAUGAGGUAUCUGAGGCACAGAGAUGUUAAGUAGCUCGUUAAAAGUACUGUAUUGCAGAUAAAGGAGCCAAGACAGUGUUAACCUUAGAGCUCAGACUUUUAACUUCUUUUCUCCUAGUGAUACCCACUAAGUGCUUAAUGUCUUGCUUAGAUGGAAAUUAUAUCAACUGUAAAGUUAUCAUUACAUCUCUGCACUGUGUCAUGCCUCCCAGAAAUAUUCAGCAACCCAGUUGUAAGAAAUAAGAGAUUGGGGGUUAUAGGACAAAUCCAUGGAAAGCCAAAAGGAAUUGGAACUUGUAGUUAGGGUUUAAGGGGUCCAAAUAAAUAACAUAUGUUUCUUACCCAGCAAUGGAAUAGAUUGAGAGAAAGAUUAAGGAGUGUGAGUAAUAAAAACAAAUUAUUGCCUUAAUUGCUAUGAAAGGUGAUUAUAAAAUAUGACUUUUCUUCUGAAAUCAAUGAAAUUUCUAAUUCUUCAGUUCUGUCUUGGAUAUACCUAGCUGUCACUGGUUCCCCAGAUUAACUAGUUGCUGGUCUUUCAUUUCAAGGUAGGCUUCCUUUUAUAUGACAGAUCACAAAUAACAAUACAAGACUUGUUUCAAUAGGCUGGCCACAAAACGUAAGAGGUUAAAGCAAGAAUGCUCAGUUCCUUCUCUUAAAUUCCCAGAUGAUUCAUUCUCCUUUUGUAAGUAAAAAAUAUGUUGAGUGGAGAGAGAGCCAGAUAUGUUAGUAUAGUAAAAGACCUUAUGUGGCAAUAGAAGCAGAGUCAUUGCCCUUCUUGUCUCUAUUUCUUUGGAAUUUUGAGUCCACAUGAAGUAAUUCAUCAAAGAGUUGAGCUUAUUGGAGGAGGAAAUGAGGUCAUACUUUGGAAUAUGGAUUGAGAGAAAAGGAUUGGUUUGAGGGACUGAAUUAUCCCUCGAUAUUAAUAGGAAUAUAUUUGUAGUAAACUAUAAGGUAGGAGGCAGUAGCAGAGAAAGGCAUAGGAAGAAUUUUAAUUAAAUGAAAGGGUAUUUUUUUAAUUGAUAAAACAGACAUGAACAGGAAAGGCAAAUAAGUUUCACACCAUUCAUGUCCCUUCUUGCUUAGUAUGCCCACUUAAAAUAGUAUUUUGAGAGAACUGAAAAGACUAUCCCAAAGCCUCUAAGAAGCACUGGACAAUGGAGACAUUUUCUACUUUUUGUCCCUGAGAUUGAAUGAACCAUUGUCAAAAUGUUUACUACCUCUUUCUACUGGCCCCUGCCUAUAGGGGAAUUAAAUUUCCUCUGUGAAUGUGACUCACUUUAUCCAAUUAAAUAUAAAAGGAAGAGCUAUCAUGCAUGUCCCCUCUUGUGCAUAUUCAUCUUCCAGGAGACAACAUGACCCAGAGUAGAGCAACCCUCAAGCAACGGUCUGAAAAGAAAGAGAACAGAAACUCAAGCCACGAUUGUACCACAGUGGAUAUUCAAACUUACACUAUGAGUCUUUGUUUUUCUGUCAGUUUUAAGUUAGUUGUUUUUUAAGCAUUACUUAGACUAAGAAUAUGGAUAAGUACUUAUACCUGAGUUUGACAAGCUUAAAUGCUAUUUCCUUCACACCAAGAAGGAGAAUAUAAUCAAUUAUAACUCAUGACCUGCUUCAAGUGUAAUAAUAACUGAUGCUAAUAAGGAUCAAAAGAGUGACUCCUCAGUGACCAUCAGGAGCCUAAUUCUAGUCAUUCCAUUGCUGAUAAUAUUAAUGUGGAAAGUUAAGCAAAUGAACCCAUUAAGCAUAUUGAAAACUCAGCAAUAGUCUCAAAAUAGAUGAAUAACAUAACGUGGUAAUUCAUCAGGACUCUCAUUCUGGGAAAUUUAAUUAAGCAUUCUCUCACCUAAAAUACACACAAUUCAGUUUACUAUUAUGCUUCUUGAAGCACAAUACAAAUGAACUUUUUAUGAAGCAAGAGCAAAAAAUACUUUACUGUUUUUUUCCUUUUUACACCUAACAAAUGCUUCAGUUUAGGAAUGUCUCUAGUACUCAAAGAAAGAAUUGUCAUUCGUGAUUAGAGUAUGCUUAAAAUUUAUAAAAUUCUCAAUUGGCCUCUUAUACUCUAUGUUGCCUCUUAAAAAUACAAAAGAAAAUGGAUGAAAGCUGAGAAUUAACAUACAGAAGCAGAGACAUAAUAGCAGAGACAGAAAAAGGCAAGAAGUAAAGAAACAAAAUAAUGAAAAAAUAAUUAGUUGUGGGAAUUGAGUAAAUGAAACUUUUUUCAUUACAUAACACCUAGCUUAAUACCUUCUCUGUGGAACAUAUGUUGAAAGGCCACUUGGAUUACCUCUUCUAGUCUAUCUCCAUUACCCCACCACCACCACCAUUUUUAAACUGUGCAAAGAUGGUAAUAUGCAGUUUAUGUCUCCUUUUUAAUGCUUUUGCCAUAAUAUUUCAUUUUUAUGCUUAUUUAUUUUUUCAGCUAGAUUGCUCUACCGAAACAGAUGUACAUCAAUAUUUAUAUCAAUAUGUAUUAAUAUGUAUAACAAUUUGCAUUAAUAUGUAUAUGAAUUCUGUAACCUUAUUGUAUAAGGCUACAGAAUUCAUUUGGCUUUAUUUUGCUUUGUUUUUCACAGUUUGGAUGGAUUUGGGGUGAUAAAAAAGUUAAUAACUGGAGAGUUCAAACUCUGUUAAGUAUGUGUCUAAAAUUAUUUAUAACUUUUCAGUGUAAUAAUAAAAAGACCCACACAUUUUUUCAUAGAUUGCUUUUGUUCUUAUUGGUGUACUUGAUUAAUCUUGUACUGGUAUAGUCUAAUUUUCAAUUCGUUAUUUCUUAAAAUAGCUUCAAAUCUUUAAAGCUAAUUAGGCAUUUUAAACAAAUAAGCACAUCUUUUUUUACUAAUUUGCUUGUUUGCUCAUUUUUCUUGGAGAAAUUAAAAUCACCUUUGUUUUUAUAAUGAAAGUAAUUUAGUAUGAAAAGAGAUGAAGCUCACUUGGAGAUUUCCUUCUCUGCCCAGCACUCAUGCAUGGAUCUAUUAAACCUAAAACUGACAAUUACAAUAAAAUACUUAAAUAUUUAAGUAUCAUCAUCGCAGACAAAAUACUAGAAAUAUUAUAAGUAUGUGCCACAAAACAUACUACAUAGGAAUUUUGUAAAGGAAUACUUUUCAAGCACAGGUACAUGCAAAGCUGAUGAUUUCUGACAUUGUGAAGACCAAAAUGACUUGUUUUUUGAAUGUGGGAAGGAUUGGACAUGGUGAAGUUUAAAGAAUUUUCAUAAUAUGCUUAAUAAUAAACAUGUGCAAACAGAACUUUAAAUAAUGCUUAGCGUUAAGAAGAAAUAUUUUUGAACUGAGCACUGUGUGAACCUGACUGGAGUAACAGCAGAUAUUCAAUAAAGCCUUCAUAUGUAAUGGUAACUUUAGAAGAUUUGGGAAAAUGGAAUUUGGAAAAAGUUUGAGACAUGUGCAAAGUCUAAAGAAUCUCUCCAAGAGCUUCCGAAUCUCUUAGGAGUUCCUACACUUUGAUUUUUAGGGUAGAUCUUAAUGAAAGGGCAAAAUGAAUGAAUAAAGUUUUCCUAUUUUUAAAGACAUUUCACUACAUGCACACAGCCACCCACACAUAUGUUAUCUCUAUGUAAAUGUACAAGUACACAUACACACAUAUGUAGGUGCCUAUGUGAAUAUGCACUAGUCAUGUACUUACAUAUGUGUAUGUAUAUGUGAAUAUACACAAGGUAUUUAUAUGUAUUUGUAUGAUCUCUAAGCCAAACAGAUACCCUGAAAGGUAAAAGAAAAAUCCAACCUAUCGAUUCUGUGGUAUGUUAGUAUUUUGAUUCCCCUUGGCAAUUCAAAUAUCAUUUUUCAAGAAACAUUUUCAAUUAUUUUAAAAUAAAUUUUCAGCUUUAUUACAAAAGUCUUCUCACACAUUGAGGUAUACUAAAGUGUAAACACAAAUUUUAAAAUUUAAAUUUGACACAAUACCUAAAAUCCCCUUCAAAUUUUCAGUUCCUCCCUUGUCUUUGCAGUGAUACAUCCCAGUGUCUUCCUAUAGGAAACAUUGUUUUGUAUAAUCACAAUUUGCUAAAAGCUUAAAAGAUGACGUUUUUAGUGCUCCAUUUGAGACUACUUUAAUUAAAUAUUUCAACUUGGUAUUGAACAUUAUGGAACUACAAUUUAAAGACUUACUGUCAAAAAGUCAAACACCAUUUUAGGACAUUUAGUCUGAUUUUAAAUAUAUCUUUUGAAAAGCUCGAAAAGUUCUAAAAUCCAGUUUAUGAUGAACAACAGACAGAGAAGUUAUGUACUGCAAUGCUCAAGUGGUUUUUAGCAUGCAGUAUCAACUGUAACAAAAGUUUGUAUUUCAGUAACUGUCAGUGUAUAAAUAUAACUAUAGCUUUUACUUUGAUUUCAGAAUAUCACACAAUUUUGGAUAUAAUUAUAAAUUAUGUUUGUUCUACAAGCUAUUUAAAAUUAUUUCAAAUUAUUGGUUACUCAAUUAAGGUCUUUUUUUAACCAAAAAAAAGCUUUGUCCCAUCAAUUUUAAUGUUUAUUAUAAUAAUUUGAUCUUCAAUAUUGAACUUUUUAAAGUGAAGUUUUGCAGUAACUUCUUUUCAAGUAAUUUCUGAUGCUUCAAAACGAAUUUCCAACAAAACAGAAUUUUAUCACACAAAAUUUUCUAUGAAAAAUUCAAGCCACUCUUGCAUCUUAUACAAUUCAUUUUCUCUUUGGAGAAUCUGAUGGUACCAAUAUAAAAAUUGGUUAUUUAUAUGUUUUCAAAUUUCCUCCUUGGUUAAUGAGGCCAACACAUUAACAGUCAUUGUUUCAUGCUUUGUAUGUGCAGAGGAAAACUUAGAAUUAAAAAUGAAUGAAUAUAAUUUUUAAAAAGGGUCUCUGUUUAAAUAAAAUAUGUAGUUUCAUAGAGCAUUAUUGUAAAUGCACCUUCUGCUUCUGCAUACGUAUAAUAUCUCUUUGGGGAGAGCCAGUUUCUUAAAUUAACUACUAACUUUUGAAAUAAAUGCUAAUACUUCU
rnacentral:lncRNA from 1 species